rnacentral:lncRNA from 1 species
UACUACAGCUUCUGGUCGUACUUAGUAUCAUACGGCUGCGGGCUACAAUCUUUUGCAACCGCCUCAACCACUCCCUAUAGUUUUGGGCUUCAAUGUAAUUUCCCCUCUUAACCCUACCACUCUCAUAAGUCACACACCAAUCAAAAAGUCAAACUUGUCCCUAAAACACUUUCACAUUCUCCAACGCCCAGUCAAAAGCACCAUCCAACAAAAUGGCUCCAAGAAAGGGUAAAAAUGGAAACAUAAUAUUAAGGCGGGAAAAAUCAUCAGGAAAAAGUCGCCGGGAAUCAAACUCGGAAAUUCUUUCCGGUGAAAGUCUGACCGAACUGCCAGUUAGCUGGGACGAUGUUCCACGAAGUGGAGGAGCGUCGGUCACUGCCUGUGACCCUGAAGGAGAGUGACUGACCAACCAGAACCGAGUUCGACUGCCAGUUCUGUCCCCAGUUACGGCUCAGGCUCAUCCAGCCAGUCCUGGACCCUUUCACGCUCACCCUCACGAUAUCCCCUGCACCCGCGACGUUGGAGACCAAAACCAAGUUGAAGUAACGGAAGCCGUUGAUGGUGAACCUGAUCCCUCCGCGCUUCCGGCAUGGCACCCUGAGGAAAUAAGACAAAACGAGUGAGGAUAAGACGGUAAUUAUCAGUGCAGUUAGUAUAACGUGGAUCGCGGACCGUGUUUCUAGGUGGGCGUGACUAAAUCUAAAGCCCUUUUCACAUUGAUCAACGAGUCUCCGACUUUAGGAGACUGUGCUACCUAUCGUACUUUGUGCCGUCAGAUUCUCUGGUCAAGGGUGCGUACGGUUCAGAUCAUCCGAGAAGUCUAAGCACCAGUCAAGGAGAAAAGCCAGGAUUGGUUGCUAAUGUAAGUUAGUGGACUAUAAGUCAAAUUUUUCUUUUUUCGAUUAUAGGUCAAAUUUUAAAAAAAAAUUAGAGAUAAUAAAAGAUUAUAUACUGAACAUCAAACAUUCCCCUACAAAUGAUACAGUCUAUAGUUCUUUUUAACUUUAAACAAGUGACCCGACUUUGCGAAACUGUGAUUUGUAGCUUUAAUGGUUAAAAAUGUUUAUUCUAAAUUGUGUAACGUCUAAAGUCACUGUAAUGAAAACGCUCAUAGUUACUGUGUUGGCUAAAAGGUCCAAAAUUAGGGCAAAUGCUGACGUACGGCAACUUAGACACUUCCAUGAAAAGUAUAAACAACUUAUGAAAAAUCUAGAUUUAAAUUAUUUGAUAAUUUGAUUUCAACUGUUUUGGGACCAGAUAGGUUUAAUGCCAAAUAACCGAAAGUGACCAAUAAACUUCCAAAAGGAGUCGAAAUUAACUAAUGGUAAUGACCUAAAGCAAAUUAGGUCAGUUAACAGUGAUGAAGGUAUAAGUAAUAAGAUUUAAGAAAAAACUUAGACCCAUCUGGGCCAUUAUCGUGUGUCAAUAACUAACCAAACACAGAACCCAUUACAUUUUCAGAACGAAUAAUGACCCACAAGAUAAAGAAAGAUCACACAAAAAGCUUCACAAGAUGGUCCGAUUCUCAAUCUUGCAACGCAUUUCUGAUUAAAGAGUUUCAAUACUGUCGAGCACUAUAAACUUAUUGACAUUUGAGGAAAAAACGAAUUUGAAUACGUUUUGGUAAAUCUAGCUUUUACGACAGCAUUUUACGUAGCAAAACAUUUACUAGUACUAGUUCACUCUAAGACCGAGAUUUGAGUUCCAAAGUGGCAAAACAGAGUGAAAACGGAGCAUUCUGUAAAAACAAAGAUCUUAACGCUUCCGCAUUUUCCACUAGGUAAAAUGGGAAUGAGAAAGAAACUUACUUUAAAGCAGCCCAUAACUAUUUACCCAAAAAGAAAAAGUGUUUCAACUACCUAAAGCCAAAUCAGAGCAAACAAAGAAAACCAAAAACAUAGCACUAAACAGAGUAAAAAGUUAAAAAGCAGAGAAACGAGCUUUACUAACCUACGAUAGGAAACAGGGACAAUCCCGGCACGGUACUCAGCGAUCUUAAGAAACAUGGGCAUGGCAAGGUCAAAGUGAGGCCUAGGAGGGUUGCACCAUCCGCCAUUGUCGCUAGGCUGAGCAAAGUUGGGUGGGCAAAAGUUAGUUGCAGUGAUGAAAAUCGAAGGACUUCCAGAGUGGCACCAGUUCGGGUCGUUUGCGCACUUGAUUUCAAAGCAGGCACCGCAGCUGAGGCCAUUGUUGAACAGCGCCGUGCUAAGAGCA